AUUAAUUUAGUUUAGUUUAUAAAAAUAUAGGCUUGUCAAGCCUAAGAUCUGCAUUGAAACAGAACUAUGUA
rnacentral:tRNA from 1 species